rnacentral:piRNA from 1 species
AUUCCAGAAUUCUGAAGGGCUCCAG